rnacentral:rRNA from 1 species
UACGGAGGGGGCAAGCGUUAUUCGGAAUUAUUGGGCGUAAAGGGCGCGUAGGCGGCUAGAUGUGUCAAAGGUGAAAUCCCUCGGCUCAACUGAGGAACUGCCUUUGAAACUGUCUGGCUUGAGGCCGGGAGAGGGUAGCGGAAUUCCCAGUGUAGCGGUGAAAUGCGUAGAUAUCUAGAGGAACACCAGAGGCGAAAGCGAAUCACUGGACAGAACCUGACGCUGAGGCACGAAAGCUAGGGGAGCAAACGGG